rnacentral:lncRNA from 1 species
GGGUUCAUUGGUUCUGGGUUCCUCCACCACUGGGAGUGCAUUUACUGGGGUGCUAAGGCCCCUCUGUUGCAUUAUCUGCCCUAACCAGUGAGCAGUAGUCUGUAGCUGGAGAGCCAUGGUUUGAAUGUCCUGGUUAGACAGAGUCACGGUGGGAGUAUUCCCUGCCAAGCUUGGCGAGGGAUUAAGAGGAAUAGGCGUUUGGUUAUUCAACGUUGUAGGGCUAGAAAAGGAGAACUGCUGCCCAUCUUGGGCAGAGCUCAGGUCAUUUGGAAUGUUAAGGUUACUUUCUUGGUGGUUUGCCAUCGUGGAUCUCAGUGGGUUUUGAAAGUGAAAACUUCGGUGAUGAAAAGAUCUCCUUCGUUUCCCACAGAUGGCGCCAAUUGAUGAUCUGAGAUCCAAUAGAGUAGGGUUUUACAAGGGUUUUGAUAUUGAAAAAUAAAACUUAAACUUUCUGGGGAGGGGAUUCCCCUUUUAUCCAUUUCGCUAUGCUUGCUGGUGACGUGUAAAGGCCUCUCCAUGAUUGGGACACGCGUCUCUGACAUACAGAUUCGGGCGUACGAGGGUAUCAGCCGCCUGCUCCAUGCGUAACGGCCUCUGAUUCUCCUCGUGCGUACGCUCGAGCGGAUCUGCUAGGCUGUCUUAGUAUGGCUUUGGAUACUGGGCUGGGCCGAGAGUCGGGCCGGACGCUGAGCCUGAGAGGAGAGGGCCUGCUGGUCGCGGACUGGGCCGAUCUGAGUGAAGAAGCUUGGUUGAGCCCGGCCUUGAAGGUUGAAUGAGCCAGGCUUGUUGUGCAUAUCUGGUGCGUGGGCCUCUACGUUAUGGGCCUUUGGCUGUGGUCAAGCCCCUGAUCUGGGGUGAAGAAAUCCAGCGGUCAUCA